CAGCCUCCUAGGCCCCACUACGAGCCGGAUUUUGAAGGAAGAGGACGCCGUCCCGGCUCCAGAGGCGCUCUGUCCGCAGGGGCGAGGCACCGCGUAGGCAGUUCGUGGCCCUCUAGUGGGGGACCUCGGCCCAGACCCCAGGCCCCCGCCCGGGAGGCGCGUCAGAGGAGCAAGAGGCCCAGGUCGCAAGGGGCGGCCGCCGGACCGGAACCGCACCGGGUGAUCGGCUGGGGCAGGCGAGGCCGAGGGUCCGGCCCUGCCCGACGCCGUCCCCGCCCCUCCCCGCCCGCCGCCACCGCCGUCGCCGCCGUCGGGUCGGUGCCGAGCAGUCCGCCUGGGGCGGGAGGCGAGAGGCAAGAGGCGAGAGGCCAGGCCCCAGGCCCGGGCUGCCCCUCAGCCGCAUCGCCCUGGGCGUGUGCCCAGGUCCAAGUCGCCUUCCGCCCGGCCGGCCACCCUCCCCCUCCCCGCCCGCGGCCCCAGCCAGGUCCCGCCGCCAGGCAGGCUCCCGCCCCCGCUCCGCCCCCGGAGCCGCAGCCCCGCCCGCCACCGCCGUCGCCAUGUUGUGGCUCCCACAGCCGGCGCUGGGGACGCGCGCGGCCGAGCCCGGGGCUUGCAGCCGCCGCCGCCGCCAGGGUCUGUUGGGUGCAUCUGUUGGUGUGUACAGUGUGGCUGAGGUUACAGAACCUGGACAGAUGGAUGCCUGACCUGGAAGGUGUGUGGUGGGUUUUCAGGGGUCUGUUGCCUCAUCCCAAGUACAUUAUGCAGUGAAAGAGAAGAGGAAGCAAGGUGCUAGCACACAGAUUUUGACCGUUUUCCAGUUGUUCCACUGGUUAUGGCUUUGAUUCAUUCAGUAAAAUUUUACUGAGCACUUAUUAUGUGCCAGCCACUGCACUAGGUGCUGGGAAUAUAGGGGUAAACCAGAAAGACAUGUUUUACCUUGAGUUCAUAGACUCAAUAAUAAACAAAUCUUGAAACAUCACUCAACAACAGGUAUUUUUGUCAACAAAUAUGUGCUAGGCAUUGUUUUAGAUGCUGUGAAGAAAACAAAGCAAAAAUAACUGUCCUUGUCGAGCUUUAAUGUGGGGGGUUGUACAGACAAUAAAAUAAAAUAUAAAAUAAAAAUAUAUGCUGUUAAUAAGUGCUAAUGAGAAAAAGAAAACAGGUUAUUGGGUUAUUGGGUAGAGACUGAAUUUAUAUUUGGGUGGUCUGGAAAGGGCUCCUGAGAAGUUGUCUUUUGAAUAAAAUGUUGAAGGAAGUGGUGAACUGAUCAUUUCAAACUGAUGAGUACAAGGAGAGAAAGGUGAAGAGCUUAGUGAGAAAUAAUGGGCCUUGAUUUGGGUUGGGGGCUCAGGGACGGUGUCCCUUGAGGAAGUGACAUUUAGGCUGAGACCUGAAGGAGGGGUGAGAGUUAACCAUGUGUGGAGCAGCACGGAGCUUGGUAAGUUGGAGGAAGUGAAAGAGGCCUGUGUGACUGGAGAGGAGAUAAGUUUCUAGAGAGGUGUGUCAGUUCACUGGGGGCCUCUGGGACAGAAUGCCUUUCCCUCCAGAGUUUGGAUUUACCCCCAGUGUAAUUAGGAGCCUUUGAAGGGUUUUAACUGAGUGACAUAAUGAUAUUUAUAUUUACAUUUUAAAAGGACUCUGGUCUGGACACAGAUAAGCAGGUAAGGGUUGAGUGGCCUCACUACUUGAUCUGCUUGGAAAAGCCUCAAGCAGUCCGGGGGGGAGGAGGAUCUUUUCUCUUAGAGAGAUGAUUUUGCCCAGCUUUUAGGAAGGGAAAGAAAAGUGAAUUAACAUUUAUGGAGUGCCUGUUAGGUGGGAGAAUCAAUUUUAGAGACUUUUACAAACAUUAUCAUAUUUAACUUAAUCUUCUCUGCACUCUAAGAGGAGUUGUCCUGCCCCCUUUACAUACAAGCUCAGAGGAGUUAGAUGACUUAUCCAAAGCUACAUUUGUAACACAAUCUGUAUUCAAACCCAGAUCUUCCUGAUUCCGGAGCCCUCUGGCUCUGGAGCCAGACUACUGAGUUUGUGUCUUGCUUCUGCCACUUACUAACUGAAUGAUUUUGACUUAUUUAACCCUUCUGGUGCCUCAGUUUCCUGUCUGGAAAAGUCUCAAGCUUUUCUCAGCUUCAAUGCAGAUAAAAGUACCUACCUCCUAGGGUUGUUCUGAUUAAAUUAACUUUUAGUACAACAUGUUAGUUGCUUUUACUAAAAAUUUUUAAACAACCACAUUGCCUCCCAGCCCUGUUGUCAUUGUGGGUGAGAUUAACUAUAGGGAGAAUUCAGUUCUUGAAUAUUGUGAGACUCUGUUUUCCUUUAAAUAACUUAAUGCCAAUGUUCCAUGUGCUCAGUCCUUCAACACUGAGCUCUUGUGUCAGUCUUGACCCUGCACUGGGGCUUAUGGAUACAAUGUGCGUUCCUUCCCUCAAGCUCAGUGUAUCUAGGGGAGGUCAGAUAAUUAAAAUGAGCUACAAUGUACUUAACAAAUUCUCAAAAAUCCCUGUAUUUAGAGAGCUACAGUUAAGACGGGUAAGAACUAAAUGCCCAAGGAGAAGUAGGGAAGGCUUUAGGGCCAGGGUGACUUCUGAACUGGGCUUUGGAGGAAGAACAGUGUUACCACCAUGUUAAGACUGGGCAAAGGACAUUCUAUGUAGAGGGAGUUAUACGUGAAAGCACGGAGCCGUGAGAGGCUUGGUUUGUCCAGGGAUGAGGCUGGUAAGCCGAGCUGGGCUUGUGAAAGGCAGGUCAGGUUUGAAUUUAAUUCCAUAAGGCACAGGGACCUAUCAGAGACUAUUGGAUACAUCAGAUCCGUACCAUGAUGGGUGCUGCUGAUAGAGAGUGGAUACAGUUGUCAUCCUGGGAGGUGACUUUAUUUUGGUGCUAUCUUAGGGCUUCAGUAUGUGAAGUUUCAGAAACCUGAAACUCAGGUGGUUGUUUUUUUUCUUUUAAUAUGAUUUUUAUUUUGUUACUGGCUGUGUUUCAUUUUUGUUGCUGCUCAGGCUUUUCUCUCAUUGUGGCGAGUGGUGGCUAACUCUCUAGUUGUGGUGUGCGGGCUUCUCAUGGCAGUGGCUUCUCUUGUUGCUGAGCUUGGGCUCUAGGGCGUGCGGGCUUCAGUAAUUGUAGCACAUGGGCUCAGUAGUUGUGGCUCCUGGCCUCUAGAGCACAGGUUCAAUAGCUGUGGUGCACAGACUUCAGUUGCACCACAUCCACAGCAUGUGGGCUCUUCCGGGACCAGGGAUCAAACCUGUUGUCUCCUGCAUUGACUGGUGGAUUCUUCACCACUGAGCCACCAGGGAAGCCCUGAAAUUCAGUUUUGUAGGCCACGUAGAGCUGAUUGAGAUCCAGGGAGACUGACUAACCAAACUUGGAAGAGACUGAUGCAAAAAAUCAGGGUAUUAACUAGCCUUGAAAAAUGAAACUGCAGAAUGACAGAUGUUUCUGUCCUCUGGUCAUGGCCCUCCCCACCCCCACCCCCUAACUUCUGGGCAGGGCUCGGACAUACUAACAAAUUCUUGCUCCUCGAUUCCCAUUUGUUUAUCUCAGGUUCCAUGAAUACUAACCUUUUUUUGUUAACGUAACCUUGCCCUAAAGCUCUAUACAGUGUAGUUAACAAUGUUUAUUAGUUGAUGGAAUGAAUAAUUCUGUAUCAUUUGAAUGGGAUCCUGUGUUUGUGAAACUUAAGGAAAAGGAGGAAUAACUUUUUUAGAAGUAAAGUAUUGCAAAAGGGGCUCCUUAGGAUUGGGUUACUGGGGAAGGUAUGCAGAUACCAAGUGGUAUGGGUAAUUUUGUGGCCAAGGGAUGGUUGUGGACGGGUACCUUGGAAGUUGCUCCGAGAGCAGAGGUCUGUGAACUCUUGAAAGAGGUUGGGUGGGGGUGGGUUGGAGUUGCACCUGAAGGAGAGUUUGGUUUAGGAUUUUCAUCUUGCCUACACAUGGGGGACAGAAAAGAAGGUACUAAUUCUUGCCUUCUACUCAGCCUGGUCAUGGUGAGCCUUCCUAUUGCAUGGGAAUCUUCAUGUGGUUUGAGCUUCAUCUUAACACUUCUGCUUCUGCAAAACUGGAAAGAGUGGUGGACCCCCUAGAGUUCUGAAUCUGUAUUUUUCUACAGUGGAAAACAAAAUCCAAAUAGACCAACCUAGAUUAUGGAUUAAUUAUUUUUCUUUUAAAACUCUAAAGGACAUUCAUGUAGAAAAUUUAGGCAAUACAGAUAGGUAUUAAAUUUGUAUUUAAUACAAAUUAAAUAAAAAUGAUAAACCCUAUAACCUAGAUCUACUGUUAGCAUUUUAAUAUUUAGUGUUUUUAUUAGAUCUUUUUCUCCAGCUCUAUCUUUCUGUGUAAGUGGUUUUAACUUUUUUCUUUUCCUACAAAAAUAGGAGCAUCCCAAAUAGGAGAGCGUUCAAGUGUCGAUGUCU
rnacentral:lncRNA from 1 species